rnacentral:rRNA from 1 species
AGCAGCCGCGGUAAUUCCAGCUCCAAUAGCGUAUAUUAAAGUUGCUGCAGUUAAAAAGCUCGUAGUUGAAUUUCGGGACUGAUAUGUCGGUCGUGCCUCGGUACGUACUGGUAUUUUUGGUUUCUCCCUUCUGACGAACCUUGAUGUCAUUAAUUUGGUGUCUUGGGAAAUCAGGACUGUUACUUUGAAAAAAUUGAGUGUUUAAAGCAGGCUCACGCUUGAAUACAUUAGCAUGGAAUAUGAAAUAGGACGUUUGACUCUAUUUUGUUGGUUUCUAGGAUCGACGUAACGAUUAAUAGGGAUAGUUGGGGGCAUUAGUAUUCAAUUGUCAGAGGUGAAAUUCUUGGAUUUAUUGAAGACUAACUACUGCGAAAGCAUUUGCCAAGGAUGUUUUCAUUAAUCAAGAACGAAAGUUAGGGGAUCGAAGACGAUCAGAUACCGUCGUAGUCUUAACCAUAAACUAUGCCGACUAGGGAUCGGAUGGAUGUUAAUUUUUAAUGACUCAUUCGGCGCCUUACGG